GACGAACGCUGGCGGCGUGCUUAACACAUGCAAGUCGAACGGAAAGGCCCUGCUUUUGUGGGGUGCUCGAGUGGCGAACGGGUGAGUAACACGUGAGUAACCUGUCCUUGACUUUGGGAUAACUUCAGGAAACUGGGGCUAAUACCGGAUAGGAGCUCUUGCUGCAUGGUGGGGGUUGGAAAGUUUCGGCGGUUGGGGAUGGACUCGCGGCUUAUCAGCUUGUUGGUGGGGUAGUGGCUUACCAAGGCUUUGACGGGUAGCCGGCCUGAGAGGGUGACCGGCCACAUUGGGACUGCGAUACGGCCCAGACUCCUACGGGAGGCAGCAGUGGGGAAUAUUGCACAAUGGGCGGAAGCCUGAUGCAGCAACGCCGCGUGCGGGAUGACGGCCUUCGGGUUGUAAACCACUUUCGCCUGUGACGAAGCGUGAGUGACGGUAAUGGGUAAAGAAGCACCGGCUAACUACGUG
rnacentral:rRNA from 1 species